ACAGGUUGGUUUCUGUCGUCUGAUAUAUUUUAACGACAGACGGUGUAGAAACUGUCGUCUGAAUAUAGCAACAUACCAUGGUAAGUUAGCUUUGAGAAUUAGGUUUGUCUUUACACAACAGUUAUCUGUCGUCUAAUCAAAGGAGAUAAAUUUGAUUUCGGUUCGUGUUGUAUCUGCUUUUUUUUUUUUUUGUUCAGACGACAUUUAUCUGUCGUCUUGUCAAAGGAGACAAUUUUUUUUUUGUCAUAGCUGUUUGUUUUUUUGGCACAACAUGAAGGGAUAUAUGCCAAAUUUUAAAGCUAUUUCUCUCUCCCUGACAAAUUUAACCCUUUGAAAAAUUUUCUCUUCCACAUCUGAGAAACCCUAUCUAUCUCACUCUCCCUUAGGCACAGAAGAACCCAGUAGCCCCAACUCAACACAAAUUUCUUGGCAGAUCUCCCCCAUUAAACUCUCCUCUAAUCAAAACUGAAAACUCAAUCUCCCCCAUCUCUCUUCGACAAACAUAGAACCCAUCUCAAUCACUUUUUCAAACCAUACAGCCAAACCAUCUCAAUCCCUCUCACGAGUUCUUGUUGGUGUUGAGAAGAUUUCAACGCUUUCAAUCCGUAUUGUUUCACUAUUGUUGGGUAAGCCUUUCGAUUCACUGUUAAUCAAUUUAUUUAGAGUUUCUUUUGGAUUGGGUUUUAGGGUUUUAAUUGAAAAUUUCUAUUCAAAUUUGAUUUGUGUUUGCUGGGUUAUAUUCGAAUUGGGGAUACAAGGUUAUCUUUUGUCUGGGUUAUGUUCAAAUUUUCUUUUCGAAGGUACGAUUCGUCUCUGAAAUCGGUGAAGGAGCUUAACCAACCCCUGGAUUCGAAUUGCGGGGCGUUCAUGAAUCGGAGAAGGAGAUGAUAGGUUAGUUAGCAUUUUAUUUCCAUUUGCAUUUGCACUUUUCGGGUCAUUACCUAUCUAAACUUUGUUUUGCUUAACUAUCUUUGUUAAGUUUCAGUUUCAUGCUUGUUGUUUGCGAGGUCUGAUACGUGUAUAUUUGUAUUAUGUGCAUCUUAUUUUCAGGAGAGUUGGAAAACUAAAGGUUGCUGCUCCAGUUGAUAAGAGUAGCAAAGGAAAGGCCAUUUUUCAUUGGUUUUGCUAGCAUCUCAUUGAUGAGUCAAUUUAGUUUUGUCAUGUUUUAUUCAAUUCAAUUGUGUUUGUGGGUUUUGUAGAUUGGAUUUAUUGAAGAUUUUGAAAGCAUGUUUCUGAAAUCUUGGACAGAAGACCAUUUGAGGCAAGAGCCUCUUCUUCUCCUUUCAUACUUCCAGAAAGGUCAAUUCUUUUUUUCUUAGACUUUAGGUGUCCCAAGCUAUAAUGUUUAUCAUUCUAUCUAGUAUGCUGAUCCUAGUAUGGUCUUGUAGAUUUGGAAAUGGUUAUAAAUGGUAUCCUUCCUGCUUGAUUUUUUUUCUUUCUAAUUUCAUUGUUAUUGAGCCCAAAUUAUUGAUUGAUCAAUAGAAGGGAGCAUGUUGAUUAGUUGUGUGCUGCUCUAUUGUGCCCGACUACAUAUUCUAUGCCUUCUACAGAACUUAGUGACAAAUUAACAGUUGUAUUUGUUGUGAGUUUUCUCGAAUUAUAUGCACUUGUUUUUCUAUAGUGGUACCCUCAUAAUUAGCUUGGACAUGCAUGUUGUAGUCAUAGUGGAAAUUGCCAAUAUGUUAUAAUGGACUACCAAUAAUGAUAGAGGGAUUGAUCGGACUAGUGCAUUCUACUAAAGCCUCUUCAAGAACCAGAGAAGAUGACCAAUAUUAUUCUUCAAGCUCUGAAAAUUACUGGACAAAGAGGCAUUAUCAACAAAGGCUGGGGUUGGUAAUUUACAAUCAAAUGAUUCUGUGUACUUAGUGGACAAUUGCCCCCAUGAUGACUCUUCCUCGGAUGCUCUGUUGUGGUAAAUUAUUUAUGUUAUUAGUUUAUUUUGGUUUAGUACAGAUUUUGCUGCACUGGUGCUUACUAGAUUCAUGCUCGCUACGUGGUUUAUUUGUUGUAGUGACAUGAUCAUUAAUUCAAAUAUGACUAACAAAAAAAGGUCUUGAACAUUUUCAUUUGAAGCAUGUAGGAGCAGUUACAUGUUGUAAUGAUAAAUUGAUGUAGUAGUAAUAAA